UUUCCGCCGCCGCCGCCGCUAAAAAAACUCCAUCGAUCCCCAUCCUUGCUUGCCCACUCCCAUCGAUCGUUGCCACCGCCGCCGCCGCCGUCCGAGGGGGAGACGUCGCCGCCGCCGCUGCAAGGUAUGGCGGUUUGAAUCCCGCCCCCGCCUCUGCAAGGCAGGGCGGUUUCAAUCCCACCGCCGCCGAACUCCGGGAAUCGCCGCCGCCAAGUCUUCAGGGCAGGGCGGUUUCAAACCCUGCCGACGAUCUCCGGGAUACGCAUAAUCGUCGCUGCCGCCCCCUCCCCCGGCUGCCCCAUGGUCUUCUAUCUCUCCCAACUCUGCUGUCGCGCCCCGUCUUCCGUCUCUGCAUGAAUCGCUGUUGUGGCAUCCACUCCCCAUGGCGGCCAUCCGGGCACACCGUGUCCGGGAUGAUGGAGGUGUUGUCGGCCAGUUCCCUGUUUUCGUUGGCAUCUUCUGCGAUGGGACCCGUGGGGACAGGUCGCGCGCUGCUCAUCUGCGUCGAUGGCGUCGGCGUCGUCCUUCCCCUGCCAAGCAUGGCGGCUCCUUGGCUGGAUCACAGUGAUGAUACAGUUGGCUCGGCGGCGGCUAGGGAUCUCGCAGGCUGGCGUUUAUUUGAUGUCUGGGUGUCCCAAUCGUGAUGGAACGGACGUAUAAUGUACGGUAUAAGAAUUUGGACGAGGCUCAUCUGCGUGGAUGGUUGUGGCUUGGCCGCCGAGCACACAAUCCAUUGAUUCACACAUAAGACCGUAGCCAUCUACACCAUGGCUCCUCUGCCCUACCGAGUCUUGGAAGUGAUCGUCGUAAGAAAUAUUCCGUGUGAUGCCGGCAUGUGUUGUUGUUGCACUGUCGCAACCAUCCAUCUACACACCAAAUGUCAAAACCGAGUCGCGGUGUACACAAUGCUGGGCAUUAUUUAUAUCGAAGGACGAGGAGGAAGAUUUGGAUGACCGUAACCACAAUGGCAAGGGCAGCAAUAUGGUCGUCACCUGCAAUGCCGAUGGGUGCUGACAUUAUGAUGUUUGGUUUAUUUGUUGAAAGUUACAGCCCAUGUUUCAUGAUUUAUUUGCCACCGGUUAAUCAUGAUAUUUUGAAGUGCUCUGACAAUUGCUUGCUGUCUGCAUCUCUUACUUUUCAACUUGCUGCAUAUACAGAUAUACACCAUUAGAAUCUGUUUGUACAAUAUAUUUACUUAUUCAACAUGCUUCAGUUAUGCUUCUUUGAAAAUCCAGUUGUAGAUUGCAGUGAAGCCCCAUUUAGAUCUUGGCUAUAGUAUUAUUCUUGUCUUAUGAAUCGUGACAGAUUGAUAUGUGAUACCAUGACAUAGCAUAUGUGGUACCGUGGUAGUCACAUUUGGUGGUAGUUCUGAUUGUUUGCUAGAUUACGAGAUAAGACCAAGUGCUUCUGCAACUCGGUUGCGGUUUUGAUAGGAACAUGAAGGCUUGUGCCAUGCCAUGGAGCAUGUUUGAUUAAAAGGACAUAGUUGCUCCAAUAUAUUGAGCAGGGAAGAAGUUUGUUACAAGUGUUUUAUAGAGUUGACGCCAGAGACGUCCGACGGGAUACAUUGGUGAAGGAAUCGACGAAAGAGCUUCCGUUCAGCAUGGUAUCUCAAUGGAAGAAUAUCCGAAGCAAACCUCCGCUACUUCUCUGUUCCCUUUCAUUUGUCGUGGGAAGACCUUAGGAAGGGCUUCGUGACUGAGCUGGCGAAUAAAAUGUCAGUGGUGGAAACGGACAUGUUAUAGAAGAUGUUGAGGGUGGCACCGGAGUUAAUGGCCAAAUGGGGUUCCUUGGCACCGAAGAGAAGGAUGCUGCAGCGACACGUACUGGGUUCCAUUUCCAACCAGAGAAGAACUUAUGAAUGGCACUAGAAAGGAGACGAUCCUAUCCACUAUCACAAUGAAACAAGAGAAACAAUUCCUUGCAGUCAUCUAUAAGCCUAUUCUUUAAUCCGUUCAAUUACAGAGUUUAUGAUUAUGUAAAUGGAGUAUGGGAUCUGAGAAGAAAAAAAAGUUGCAUCCGAUUCAAGGAAGAUAAUGGACAAGUGCAUUGGUAUGAACAGGUCGUCGACUUUGACAGAAAAUGCAUACAAAUAAUCAGUUUUCCUGCUGAGUUGUACUAUUAUGCUACAGAAUACACAUCAGCUAUUAUGCUACAGAAUACACAUCAGCUAUUAUGCUACAGAAUACGCAUAAUUAGUUACAGAUCAGUAGGCUACUCAUCUGGUUAGUUUUCUCAAGUCAUUUCUUCUGUGUGUAUAUAUGUUAUUUUCCUUUUUACACUAACAAGAGUUUCGUGCUUUCUGGUA